rnacentral:rRNA from 1 species
GGGGAAACCCUGAUCCAGCCAUCCCGCGUGUGCGAUGAAGGCCUUCGGGUUGUAAAGCACUUUUGGCAGGAAAGAAACGUUCCGGGUUAAUACCCCGGGAAACUGACGGUACCUGCAGAAUAAGCACCGGCUAACUACGUGCCAGCAGCCGCGGUAAUACGUAGGGUGCAAGCGUUAAUCGGAAUUACUGGGCGUAAAGCGUGCGCAGGCGGUUCGGAAAGAAAGAUGUGAAAUCCCAGAGCUUAACUUUGGAACUGCAUUUUUAACUACCGAGCUAGAGUGUGUCAGAGGGAGGUGGAAUUCCGCGUGUAGCAGUGAAAUGCGUAGAUAUGCGGAGGAACACCGAUGGCGAAGGCAGCCUCCUGGGAUAACACUGACGCUCAUGCACGAAAGCGUGGGGAGCAAACAGGAUUAGAUACCCUGGUAGUCCACGCCCUAAACGAUGUCAACUAGCUGUUGGGGCCUUCGGGCCUUGGUAGCGCAGCUAACGUGAAGUUGACCGCCUGGGGA